UGUGUGUGUGUGUGUGUGUGUGUAUGCGCACGGUUUGUUGCCGAUGUUUUUAAUGGUUUAUUUGCAGGACAAGCCCGAGCCUCCUCCAGAAAGGUUGUCUUCCUGACUCCACCCAAGGAUCUGACCAUCUUAGUUAGGUGUUCUCCACCCAGAUUGGUUUGAGUGACAAGGACAUUGAUACUCUUUCUGGUGGUCACACCCUGGUGUGCAUGUCUUAUGUUUGGCGCCAAGUUCGUACGCUUACUACCGCUAGAAAGAAUGCUCACAAAGCUUCCAGAAUAAUGCUAUAUUAUGCUGCGAGAAGCACAAGUUCCUCUUUUAUCAUGUCUGUUAUCCAUUUCUUUUGCUCGAGGAGCCAACCGUGCUGACAAAAUGGUAGAAGAUUAAACAAGUAAUCUAUAUUAGUCGAAUUGAGGGUAUGCUGGAUGUGAUAUGUAAUGAAGAUGGUCAUUAUUGCCCGUUCAGAGUACACAUGUGGUAGCCCCUGAGGUCUCCUCCUUGCUCGGCUUGAGAGUACACAAGUGGUUUCCCCUGAGGUAUCCUUCUUGCUCGGCUUGUUCAUUAAGUAAGAUUUUGAUUGUCUCAAUUUGUCGCUUCAGUUCCACAAAAAACAUGAAUUGUUGUGUGUAAUUGUUUAAUUCGAACAUGUUCAAGAUGAUGUUUUUAGUACUCUCAAGGGGAAACUUUGUAUUUUCAACCUAGCUAUUUUCUCAAGCCUUCUGCCUGCUCUUGCUGGGUUAUUGAAAAGCAAAACUGAAAGGUAGUAUACCUUAUAGCAACACGGAUGCACAUGUAGCCAUGCAUGCCCAAGAGGAUGCCAAUGCAUACUAUAUAUUCUUGCAAAUGUAUAAUAUUGAAAUAGAAUAUCAUCUUAUGUUUUCCAGACCCAUAUACUUACCCUGCAAUAUGUGAAUGAAUGCUCAUAUUGGCAUCCUACUAUAGAAAAUAUAUAGUUAGCAACAACUAUCUUAUAAACAUUUUUAGACCUGUUAUUAAUUCAACAUUGUCAGCUAGCUCACCCAUUGGAGUAGAUCUUCAAGCAGCUGUGUGUUGCUAAGAGAGAUGCUGUAAAAACUUUUGCUACAAGCCUACAAGGAACUCGGUGCGAGGUGGCAAGUCGGCCACAAACUUAUGUUUUGCCAAAAUAGUGUUGCCCUGAUACGAACUGCA